UCCCGAUUGGUGUAGUGGUCAACAUUUCGGAUUCUCAAUGAUAUCAGCUCUCUACAUAAGUCUCCGGAGCCGGGGGUUCGAUUCCCUCAUCGGGAG